rnacentral:lncRNA from 1 species
CUCAGCCAAAUAUGAGUGACCAUGGCCCAAGGCACAGUCUCCAGAGGUCCUGAGAACAUGUGUCCAAGGUGAUUGGUUUACAACUUGGUUUUAUAUAUUUUAGGGAGACCUAAGACAUCAGUCAAUACAUGUUUUAGUUAUAGACUUGUAGCAAUUAGCUUGCAAAAGAUAAGUACUUUGUUAAAACUUUUUAAGCUACAGAAUUUAGAGACUUUUGUUGUGUCACAACGCUUUUAGCAGUCUUUUUAAUAGUUUGUCCUAAGGUGCUUGAUUUAAAAAAACUUUAUAUAACAAUCUGCAUAAAUCUCAUAACUGGGAGCACUAUACCCAGGAGGUUUUCUUACCAGAAAAGUUCAUAUCCUCUUUGCAAUUUUCUUUUAAUUCUACAGGAAAGAGGAAAUUAUGGUUGGGAUGGAUGAAAAAGGUCCACAUACUGGUCCAGGAGGGAGGAACCAAACUGUAGUCUGCGUUUCAAUGGAGUGGAGCUGAGAAGUUCAGUCUCUCGUUGAUUCACACAAGGGACAGUUCAGUUUCUCAAGCAAAUGCACAAACAAGCCAAGUGAGAUUAAUUUGGGGAGAAAGAGGCAAUGGAAAAGAUCCUUCAGAAUGCUUUCUGAAUCAAAAUUAGGAUCCUGAACAACAACUUCCUAGGAAAAGAACCAGCUCAGAAUAAAGCAGAAGACUGUCAACUGAGCAGGAGGUUCAGGGCUGAGGAGGACUUACCAGUUUCACUCAAGAAGAAGCUUGGAGUUGGGGGGCUUUCAAUGGGCCCCUGCUGGUACCUUAGCUCUGGGUUUGGGUGACUCUUUCAGGGUUCUGAGUCUUCUCUGAGGCCCCAUAUGUAGGGUGCCAAUUAAUAUUGACUAAAAAAGCCAAACUGUAACAUAUGUGAAGAGGUUUAUUCUAAGCCAAAUAUGAGUAGCCAUGGCCCAAGGCAUGGUCUCAAGAGGUCCUGAGAACAUGUGCUCAAGGUGGUUGGGCUACAGCUUUCUUUUCUAUGUUUUAGAGAGACAUAAGACAUCAAUCAAUACAUGUGAGGUAUCCAUUGGUUUGGUCUAGAAGGGCAGGACGACUUAAAGCAGGGGAAAGUGGGUGCUUACAGGUCAUAGGAGGAUUCCAAGAUUUUCUGAUUGGCAAUUGCUUGAAAGAGUUAAGUUAUUUUCUAAAGACCUGGAAUCAAUAGAAAAGAAUGACUGGGUUAACAUAAGGGGUUGUGGAGACCAAGGUUUUUAUUACAUAGAUGAAGUCUCAUAAGUGGCUGCCCUUAGAGAUAAUAGAUAGCAAAUGUUUUCUAUUUAGACUUUUAAAAGGUGCUAGAUUCUCAGUUAAUCUCUUCAGGUUUCGGAAGGCCUGGAAGAGGAAAGAUCUAGUUAUGUUAAUGAGAUGCUUUACAGAUGCAAAUGUUUCUCAAUGGCUCUGCAGGUCCAUUUCAAAAUAGGGCCAAAAAACAUACUUUGGGGUAAAAUAUUUUUAUUUCCAUUUUUAUCAUGUGAAGUUAUACUAGAGUCAGGUUGGACUUUGGUAUCUUAUUGCUACAAAGAAUCUGUUUUGUCAGUGUUAAGAUCUGUUUUUUUUCUUUGUUUUUGUUUGUUUGUUUUGAGAAGUGGUCUCACUUUGUCACCCAGGCUGAAAUGCAGUGGCACAAUCUCAGCUCACUGCAACCUCUGCCUCCCAGGCUCAAGCGAUUCUCCUGCCUCAGCCUCCCAAGUUGCUAGGACUAAGGUGUAUGUCACCAUGCCUAGCUAAUUUUUGUAUUUUUGCAGAGACAGGAUUUCACCAUGUUGCCCAGGCUAUUCUUGAACUCCUGACUUCAAGGGAUACGCCCACCUCAGCCUCCCAAAGUGUUGACAUUAUAGGCAUGAGCCACCUCACCAGGCCAAGAUCUGUUUUAAUGUUCAUGCUGGUCAGUUAUGCCUGAAAUCCAAAUGGGAGAGGGUAUAAUGAGGCAUGUCUGACCACCUACUUCCUUCCCUUUAUGGCCUUAACUAGUUUUUCAGGUUUCUUUGGAAUCUCUUUGGCAGAAGUGUGGGAUCCAUUCAGUCAAUUGGGGGGUUAGAAUUGCAUUUUUGGUCAUGAAACUUGACCUUGAAAGUUAUUUUAUGAAUAUGAACCAUUUUCUUUUUUUUAUUAUUAUACUUUAAGUUUUGGGAUACAUGUGCAGAAUAUGCAGGUUUGUUACAUAGGUAUACACAUGCCAUGGUGGUUUGUGGCACUCAUCAACCUGCCGUCUACAUUAGGUAUUUCUUCUAAUGCUAUCCCUCCCCUAGUCCCCCACCACUGACAGGCCCCAAUGUGUGAUGUUCCCCUCCCUGUGUCCACGUGUUCUCAUUGAUCAACUCCCACUUAUGAGUGAUAACAUUCAGUGUUUGGUUUUCUGUUCCUGUGUUAGUUUGCUGAGAAUGAUGGUUUCCAGCUUCAUUCAUGUCCCUGCAAAAGACAUGAACUCAUCCUUUUUUGUGGCUGCAUAGUAUUCCAUGGUGUAUAUGUGCCACAUUUUCUGUAUCCAGUCUAUCAUCAAUGGGCAUUUAGGUUGGUUCCAAGUCUUUGCUAUUGUGAACAUUGCCGCAAUAAACAUAUGUAUACGUGUGCAUGUGUCUUUGUAGUAGAAUGAUUGAUCAUCCUUUGGGUAUAUACCCAGUAAUGGGAUUACUGGGUCAAAUGGAAUUUCUGAUUCUAGAUCCUUAAGGAAUCGACACACUCUUCCACAAUGGUUGAACUAACUUACACUCCCACCAACAAUGUAAAAGCUUUCCUAUUUCUCCACAUUAUCUCCAGCAUCUGUUGUUUCCUGACUUUUUAAUGAUUGCCAAAUACCUAAUGACUUUUUAAUGAUGGCCCCAAAUACCUAAUCCUGAUGGUAAUGGUAUUAAGAGGUAAGGCCUAUGGGAGGUGAUUUGGUCAUGAGGCUCUACCCCCAUGAAUGGGAUUAGUAUCCUUAAAAAUGUGGCCUGAGGGAGCUCUUUUACUUCUACUACCAUAUGAGGACAUAGCUAGAAGGUGCCAUCUUUGAAGCAGAGAUUGAGCCCUCAUUGUUCACCACAUUUUCUGGCACCUUAAUGUUCGAAAUCCCUGACUCCAGGACUCUCAGUAAAUUACGUUUUUAAAAACUACCCAGUCCAAGUUACAUUGUUAUAGCACCCUGAAAGAAUCAAGGUAUAAAUUGAUAGCAAGAAGUGGUGUGCUGCUCUAACAAAUACCUACAAAUGCGGAUGCAGCUUGGGAACUAGGUAAUGGGUAGAGGCCGUAAGAAUGCAAAGGAUCAGGCUAGAAAAAGCCUACAUUUCUGUGAGCAGAGUGUUAAGAGUGAUCUGGUUAUGGCUCAGAAGAGGAGAGCUGUAAACAAUGCCUAAUCUUCUUAGAGAUUUCCUAAGAGGUCAUGAACAGAAUUUUGGUAUAAAUCUGGAUGGUAAAGGCCAUUCUGAUGAAGUCUCAGGUGAAAAUGAGAAAUGUUAUCAGAAACUGGAGGAAAAGCCAUCCCUCUUAUAAAGUGGCAAAUAACCUGGCUGAACUGUGUAUGUAUCCUAGGGCUUUGCAGAAGGUAGAACUUCUGAGCAAUGAUAGUAUAGUUAGUGAAAUAAAUAUCUAAGCAAAGUGUUGAGGGUGUGUUAUGGCCUCUCUUGAAUGCUUGUAGUAAAAUACAAGAAGAUAGAAACAAAUUAAAAAGAAUUUAUAAUCAAAAGGGAAGCAGAAUGUAAAGAUCUGAAAAAUUUUCAGUGUGGCUAUGUUGUGAAGAGUUAAUGAAAAAGCAUAUUCAGAAGAGAAUACUAAAGGUAUGACCAAGCCACCAUUUGAUAAGAAGAUUAGUAGGGAUAGAAGGAAGGCAGAUGCUAUUCUGCAUGACAAUAAGAGAAUGACCCUAAAGGCAUUUCAGAGACCAUCCAGCCUGCCACUCACAUCACAGGCUCAGAAUACCAAACCUGGGGCGUAAAAUGAGGUCAAAAGAGGGACCUUGGGCAUCCAAGGAACCUCAGUGCUUGCUGCCCUGAACUACCUCAAGUCUCUGCUCCCUACAUUCUGGCACAGCAUUUUUCAGCUCCCUCUCUCAUCAGAUGUGUCUCAAAUGGGCCCAGAUGUGGUUCAGGCCACCACUCUAAAGUGCACAGGCAGUAAAAAUCUUGGCAGCAUCAACACAGUGCCAUCUCCACAGGAGCACAGAGCAAAAUGAGCUGUAGAGACAUGGCUACCUCCACCUAUAUUACUAAGGGUACUCCCAGAGAGCUGCAGGGCAUGGACAAAGAUGUCCCACAGGAAUAGGACUACAAUAAAGAGUCACCAUUGGGGCAAUGUCUAUUAAAGCCAUGGAGGGACCACCAUAAAGGCAAAGUCUGGUAAAACCAUGAGGGCAGGGCCAUCCCAGAGACCUCAGAUUGGUAAAGCCACCAGUGUGCAACUCCAGCCUAGGACAACCACAAACACAAGACUCCAACACAUGAGCACUGUGGCACGGGCUAUGCACAGAAAAGUCAUUGGGAAUGGGACCAGUUAAAGCCUUGGGGGCCCAAUCCUCAUCCAAGUGUGUGUGAAAGGCACAACACUGAGUCAAAGAAGAUUAUUCUCCAGCCUUAAGUUUUAAUAUUGUUUGUGCUCUUGGGUUUUAGACUUCCUUGAAACAUAUUACCCCUUUUCCUUUCUUCUCUCUCCCUUAUGGAAUGGGAAUUUCUAACUUAUGCCUGUCCCACCACUGUAUUUUGGAAACAUAAAACUUGUUUAACUUCAAAAGCUCAGAGUAGAAGGGGAAUUUGGCUCAGAAUGAAUGAUACCUUGAGUCUCACCCAAAUCUAACGUAGAUGAUAUUUAGAUGAGACUUUGAACUUUAAACUUUUGAGUUGAUGCAAAAACAGGUUAAGAAUUUGGGGGCUAUUGACGGGCACGGUGGCUCACGCCUGUAAUCCCAACACUUUGGGAAGCCAAGGUGGGUGGAUCACGAGGUCAGGAGUUCAAGACCAGCCUGGCCAACAUAUUGAAACCCCGUCUAUACUAAAAAUACAAAAAUUACCCAGGCAUAGUGGCACACGCCUGUAGUCCCAGCUACUCAGGAGGCUGAGGCACGAGAAUCACUUGAGCCUGGGAGGUGGAGGUUGCAGCGAGCCAAGAUUGCACCACUGCACUCCAGCCUGGGUAACAGAGUGAGACUCCGUCUCAGGAAAAAAAAAAAAAAAAAAAAAAAGAAUUUGGGGGCUAUUAGGAUAGGAUGAAUAUAUUUUGCAUGUGGGAAAGACACAAAUUUGGGGGGCCCAAGGGUGGGAAGGUAUGUUCUAAAAGUCUGUAUCCCCCAAAAUUUAUAUGUUGAAACCUAACCCCCAAGGUGAUAUUAUUAAGAGAUGUAGCCUUUGGAAGCUGAUUAGAUAAUGGAGGGUCAGUCAUACUGAAUGGGAUUAGUUCCCUAAUAAAACAGACGUGAGAGAGCUUGUCACCUCUUCUGCCAUGUGAGCAUAUAGAUAGAAGGUGCCAUCUUUGAAGCAGAGAGUGAGCCUUCAACAGAUAAUGAAUGUGCUGGGGCCUUGAUCUUGGACUUCCCAGACACCACAACUGUGAGCAGUAAGUUUUAUUAUUUAUAAAAGAUUAUAAAUCACCUAGCUAUGGUAUUUUGCUACAGCAGCCUGAAUGGACUAAAAUAAGGCUGAUAUAUUUUACUGAUAAUUUCAAAGAAUCUGUUUAAAAUUCAUUGAUUAUUAAUUUUUGGCUUUCUAUUCCUGUGAUUUCACUUUCAAAAUGAUUGAAUCAAUUCUUCUCAUUUGCUUGGAUUAAUUAUUUGUUUAUUAACAUUUGGUAAGAUUAGUUCAUUCUUUUCGGUCUUAUUACCUUAAUUUUCAAAACUGUUUUAUAUAACACUUGGUUGAGCUUAUGAUAAUAAAUAAAUAAAUAAACAUUUUAAUAAAGUCAUUAAUGGAUAAAGGCUUUCCUCUGAGAAAAGCAUCUGCAGGCAUAAUAGGAUUUGACUUGAUGUAUUUUGCCUUUAAUUAUUCUCUGGAUAUUAUGUAAGUUCCCUUUUUAUUUCCUAUUUGAGUAAAAGAGAAUCUUAAACGUGUUUAUUAAUUUCAGAUUGGAUAAGAUUUUGGUAAUGUUUCUUUACUUCCAAAUUUAUUGAAUAGACAAAUGAUAUGGAUGGAUAAAUGCUUACUAUUUUAAUACAUUAAAUGAUUUUAAGCCAAAAGACUGAUAAACCUAUUAAAAAUUCUCAUUCUUGCCGGGCACAGUGGCUCACACCUGUAAUCCCAGCACUUUAGGAGGCCAAGGUGGGCGGAUCACUUGAGGUCAGGAGUUUGAGACUAGCCUGGCCAACAUGGGGAAACCCCGUCUCUACUAAAAAAUACAAAAAUAGGCCGGCGUGGUGGCAGGCACCUGUAAUCUCACCUACUCAGGGGGCUGAGGCAGGAGAAUCACUUGAACCUGGGAGGUUGGAGGUUGCGGUGAGCCAAGAUCAGGCCACUAUACUCCAGCCUGGGCGACAGAGCCAGAAGUCCAUCUCAAAAAAAAAAAAAAAAAAACAAAACUCAUUCUCUAAUUGUGAGAUGUAAAGUGUUAUAUUUAAUACGUAAAUUGUGUUUAUUGAUUGAAUAAUUCAGUUCUUUAUGUCUUUUACAGGAAUUUAAAGACUGAUUUAUGCAUAAAACAAGAGAAUCAGAAGUAUUAAAUUUAAUCAGUGCUUAUUAUGGCAUGGUCCAUUUAUAUCAGUGUUUUUCUUUUUGAGAGUAUUUCCUUAUUUUCUGAAUCCAUGUAUAAAUAAAAGCUAUUUUCUACUAAAAAAAAACCAUGGUAACAUGGAUCAAUAAAUAAUACAGAUCAAAGCAGAACUAAACAAAAUAGAGAUGAAAAACCAACACAAAGGAUCAACAAAAUGAAAAAUUGGUUCUUUGAAAAUAUAAACAAAACUGCUGGGCGCGAUGGCUCACUCCUGUAAUCCCAGCACUUCGGGAGGCCAAGACGGGUGAAUCACUUGAGGUCAGGAGUUCGAGAUCAGCGUGGCCAAAAUGGUGAAAUCUCAUCUCUACUAGAAAUAAAAAAAGUAGCCAGGCAUGGUGGCGCACGCCUGUAAACUCAGCUACUAGGGAGGCUGAGGCACAAGAAUCGCUUGAACCCAGGAGAUGGAGGUUGCAGUGAGCCAAGAUCACACCACUGCACUCCAGCCUGGGUGACAGUUUUAUAUUUAUAUAUAUAUAUACACACACACACACACAUAUGAACCUGAUAAACCACUAGCUAGACUAACCAAGAAAAGAACAG